rnacentral:rRNA from 1 species
CCAGCAGCCGCGGUAAUUCCAGCUCCAAUAGCGUAUAUUAAUGUUGUUGCAGUUAAAAAGCUCGUAGUUGGAUUUCGAAUGGGAGCGAUUGGUCGGCGCCGCAAGGCGUCGUUACUGAGUCGUCUCCGGUUCUUUUUCGGAAUUCGGCGUGGCUGGCAUUGAGUUGUCGGUGGCGUUGGUUCCGUCGUUUACUGUGAACAAAUUAGAGUGUUCAAAGCAAGGUGUUGCUUGAAUACAUUAGCAUGGAAUAAUAAGAUAGGGCUUUGGUGGUUCUGCUCUUCGGGGUAGAUAUUUUGUUGGUUUGCACAUCAAAGCAAUGAUUAAUAGGAGCAGUUGGGGGUAUUCGUAUUCAAUUGUCAGAGGUGAAAUUCUUGGAUUUCUAGAAGACGAACUACUGCGA